rnacentral:rRNA from 1 species
UACGGAGGUGGCAAGCGUUGCUCGGAAUCACUGGGCGUAAAGGGCGCGUAGGCGGGGAGGUAAGUCGGGUGUGAAAGCCCUCGGCUCAACCGAGGAAGUGCAUUCGAAACUAGUAGGCUUGAGUAUGGAAGAGGGUCGCGGAAUUCCCGGUGUAGAGGUGAAAUUCGUAGAUAUCGGGAGGAACACCAGUGGCGAAGGCGGCGACCUGGGCCAAUACUGACGCUGAGGUGCGAAAGCGUGGGGAGCAAACAGG